GUGUGUUACUUCGCAACCGGACAAUGAAGAUAGGCUAUAGCCUAAAUUAGAAGCAUAUUAGCUCAUAAUUCAUCAGCUCAAUGUUAGUCUUAAUACUCCAGUCAUUUUACACAGCGAAAGAAAAAAAAAAAGUUAAUCAGAUUACGAAAUCAUAGGUAGCCUAAAGAGGAGAGAGACACCAUCAAUGGGCAUCAACAUUUGCGUGCCAGAGUAAAGCGUUUCAAUUCACAUACACUUAACUGUCAUGAAUUCAUAAUAAAAUAAAAAAGUUGUAUUUGUUAUGUUCACUAUGUAGUCCUUGUGAAUGAUGAUCGUGUGUUAAUUUUGACUCACCUACUGGAGCCACCGGACCUGCCCUCCUGUUUCUGAAUUGAGAAAGUCUCGUUCUCUAUAUUUAAGUGAUAAUGCCCUCAAAGCCGGUGUUUGGAGGAUAUAUUGCUGUUUUGGUUAGGUCAACGAUCUGUGGUUAGCUUGGUGAAAUGAAAAUUAGCAUUAGCUCAAUGUUUGUUUACUGUUACUUUUUCUACAUAGUGACAUGCUAGCUAGCGUCAGCCCACCAGGAAAGUGAUAUUUAGCUAGCUAGUUAACGUUAACUCACCGUUUGUGUAGUCAGACUUGCUAGCUAAUGUUAGGCUGUUACUAUAGCAAGGAUAGUUGAUUCGCUAGCAUAUCACCACUUUUAAAAAAAGUCUUGACUACACAAACAGUGAGUCAAUGUUAACUAGCUAGCUCGGUAAACAUUGCCUGGUGGGUUAGCUAGUCGGGUACCUUGCUUGGCUAGUUAGCUACAUUAGCUAAAGUAGACUUGAUAGCUCACAAUGGACUUCUGGGCUCAAUGUUUUCCCCACACAAAACACAGAAACUCAUCAAAUGAUACAAUAUUGUUUAAAACAUUGAAGCAGUGCAUGAUCAAUGCCACCCCAGCAAGGGAAUCUGCUGGAAGUGAUGUACUCUCUCUCUCUCUCUCUCUCUCUUAAUCUGGGGGUACAGGCAGGGACGACUGGGGACUUCAGCAAGUAAUACACAGGGGGUAAGAAAACAUUUGAACAUCACAGAUAUAAAUUCCCACUGUGCCCAUGAUUAAGUUAACUACAUUACUUUAGUUGGCUGCUUUGAGCAAAACGUGUAUGUAAUAUAACCUAUUCUGGGAGCCGUGUGUGUGUGUGUGUGUGUGUGUGUGUGUGUGUGUGUGUGUGUGUGUGUGUGUGUGUGUGUGUGUGAACUACAGUGUGUGGAAUAUUUUUCGACCAUUGGCUUUCCUGAAAACAGGAGGAGCAACAUGAGUCUGUCAGAGGCGAUAGAGGCUUUGUUGGUCCACACAACGUAGAAGCAGGUCUCCCUUCCAGUGAUGUGGAGCUCACCUUGGACUUGGUGCCAGUAAGGAUGGCCUUCACGGAGUCAGUAUGUUUGUCAUGUUUGUGUAUGGUUCUCAUGACUUACGAUUGGGUGUUAAGGGACCACUUGUCACAUUGUCCAAGGUGGGUUUGUGUUAUGAUAAACAAUGCGUUUUCUGUCAAGAGAAAUAUGUUUUUAAAGCAUUGAAAAUGACCUACCAAAUGUCUCUUUGUGCAUCCUGGUGGAUGGACAUCCUGUGUCAGUGUGACCCGGUUGUGGAGACUACAGCAGAUCGAGCCUGUGGACGGACAGGCAGAGCAGGCAACAGAUGGCACACAGACAGCAGAGUUGGGGACAGAUAUGCAGGGACAGACUGGCAGAGACAGGGAGUCUCAGGACAAUGACCCAACACAUCUCCAUGCUGUGUAAGUGCUAUUUGACCAAGAAGGAGAGUGAUGGAUGCUGCAUCACAUGACCUGGCCUCCACAAUCACCCAACCUCAACCCAAUUGAGAUGGUUUGGGAUGGACAGCAGAGUGAAGGAAAAGCAGCCAACAAGUGCUCAGCAUAUGUGGGAACUCCUUCAAGACUGUUGGAAAAUAAUUCCUCAUAAAACUGGUUGAGAGAAUGUCAAGAUUGUGCAAACCUGUCAUCAAGGCAAAGGAUGGCUACUUUGAAGAAUCUAAAAUAUAUUUUGAUUUAACACUUUUUUGGUUACUAGAUGAUUCCAUAUGUGUUAUUUCAUAGUGUUGAUGUUUUCACUGUUUUUCUACAAUGUAGAAAAUAGUAAAAAUAAAGAAAAACCCUUGAAUGAGUAGGUGUGUCCACACUUUUGACUGGUACAGUACGUACGGUCACUGCUGGUACGACGUCGUCGAUGCACUUAUUAAUGAGUCUAUUGACUGAUGUGGUAAACUCCUCAAUGUUAUUGGACAGAUUUCAAUCUGUGAUAGCGAAACCGUCCUGAAUCUUAGCACCGUGAAUCUUCGUCACACCGUAUUUCGGACUGAUACUUUCUGUUUGAGUUUUUGCUUGUAAGUAGGAAGCAGGAGGAUAGAGUUAUGAACUUAUUUGCCAAAGGAAUGGAGAAGCAGUACCGUAUAACUACUUGGCUCCGACCCACUCAGAGCAACAACAAAAAACAAAUAUUGAUGAACAACGUAAUAGAACAGCCCAGCCCAAAUCAUAAUUGACUGAACUAUUAUUAUGAAUAGGCCUAAGAGUAAUUAUGUCCAAUGAAGCGUACCACUUCAUAGCAUGAAUGUCAAUGAAUGUCAUUUGAUGUUUAAUGUAGCCCGCCGGCCACCACUAUAAUCACAACCACUAGCAGUAGACUACAUCAUGAUGAUGUCAAAUCAAAUCAAGUAUUAUUUGUCACAUGCGCCGAAAUACAGUGAAAUACUUACUAGCCCUUAACCAAAAAUGCUUUCAGAAGUUAAGAAAAGUAAGUGUUAAGUAACAAAUAGAUAUGUAAAAUAAAAAAAUGAAUAAAUAAAUGAAUAAAUAAAUAAUUAAUCAGCAGCAGUAAAUUAACAACCGAGGCUACAUACAGGGGGUACCAGUACAGAGUCAAUGUGGAGGCUAUAUACAGGGGGUACCGGUACAGAGUCAAUGUGGAGACUAUAUACAGGGGGUACCGGUGCAGAGUCAGUGUGGAGACUAUAUACAGGGGGUACCGGUACAGAGUCAAUGUGGAGGCUAUAUACAGGGGGUAUCGGUACAGAGUCAAUGUGGAGUCUAUAUACAGGGGGUACCGGUACAGAGUCAAUGUGGAGGCUAUAUACAGGGGGGUACCGGUACAGAGUCAAUGUGGAGUCUAUAUACAGGGGGUACCGGUACAGAGUCAGUGUGGAGACUAUAUACAGGGGGUACCGGUACAGAGUCAAUGUGGAGGCUAUAUACAGGGGGUACCGGUACAGAGUCAAUGUGGAGUCUAUAUACAGGGGGUACCGGUACAGAGUCAAUGUGGAGACUAUAUACAGGGGGUACCGGUACAGAGUCAAUGUGGAGGCUAUAUACAGGGGGUACCGGUACAGAGUCAAUGUGGAGGCUAUAUACAGGGGGGGUACCGGUACAGAGUCAAUGUGGAGUUUAUAUACAGGGGGUACCGGUACAGAGUCAAUGUGGAGGCUAUAUACAGGGGAUACCGGUACAGAGUCAAUGUGGAGGCUAUAUACAGGGGGUACUGGUACAGAGUCAAUGUGGAGGCUAUAUACAGGGUGUACCGGUACAGAGUCAAUGUGGAGGCUAUAUACAAGGGGUACCAGUACAGAGUCAAUGUGGAGGCUAUAUACAGGGGGUACCGGUACAGAGUCAAUGUGGAGGCUAUAUACAGUGUGUUACGGUACAGAGUCAAUGUGGAGGCUAUAUACAGGGGUUACCGGUACAGAGUCAAUGUGGAGGCUAUAUACAGGGGGUACUGGUACAGAGUCAAUGUGGAGGCUAUAUACAGGGGGUACCGGUACAGAGUCAAUGUGGAGGCUAUAUACAGGGGAUACCGGUACAGAGUCAAUGUGUGGGGGCACCGGUUAGUCGAGGUAAUAUGUACAUGUAGGUAGAGUUAUUAAAGUGACUAUGCAUAGAAAAUAUUUGUGAUGAUGACUUUGGCGAUUAUGAUGGGGAUAAUGAGGAUGUUGCUGUUGGCAAUUCCACUGCUUGGCUACUACUGCUCACUGUUGUCCUCACCAACAGUACUACUACUAAGCCACUUAACAGUUUUUUUUACAAUUGCUAACAAGCAUUUACCUAUACUUAAGAUACUUUUUCUAAACUCUUAACACAGCAACACACCUACGUCACACAAUUAGCCUUGCAGGUAUAAAGGUAAGACUCAGAUGCAGACCACGUUGAAUUAACAAUGGUUUAAUAUUCCAACACGGGCAGGCAAUAGACAGGUCAAGGCAGGCAGAGGUCGGUAAUCCAGAGGUGG
rnacentral:lncRNA from 1 species